UACGAAGGGGGCUAGCGUUGUUCGGAAUUACUGGGCGUAAAGCGCGCGCAGGCGGUCUUCCAAGUCAGUGGUGAAAGCCCGGAGCUCAACUCCGGAACUGCCAUUGAAACUGUGAGACUUGAGGAUGAGAGAGGUGAGUGGAAUUCCCAGUGUAGAGGUGAAAUUCGUAGAUAUUCGCAAGAACACCAGUGGCGAAGGCGGCUCACUGGCCCGGUACUGACGCUGAGGUGCGAAAGCGUGGGGAGCAAACAGGG
rnacentral:rRNA from 1 species